rnacentral:rRNA from 1 species
AUUGAACGCUGGCGGCAGGCCUAACACAUGCAAGUCGAACGAGUGGCGGACGGGUGAGUAAUGUCUGGGAAACUGCCUGAUGGAGGGGGCUAACUACUGGAAACGGUAGCUACUACCGCAUACCAUCAGAUGUGCCCAGAUGGGAUUAGCUUGUUGGUGGGGUAACGGCUCACCAAGGCGACGCUCCCUAGCUGGUCUGAGAGGAUGACCAGCCACACUGGAACUGUAACACGGUCCAAACUCCUACGGGGGGCAACAGUGGGGAAUAUUGCACAAUGGGCGAAAGCCUGAUGCAGCCAUGCCGCGUGUAUGAAGAAGGCCUUCGGGUUGUAAAGGACUUGCAGCGGGGAGGCGUUACCCGCAGAAGAAGCCACGGCUAACUACGUGCCAGCAGCCGCGGUAAUUC